rnacentral:rRNA from 1 species
UACGUAGGGUGCGAGCGUUGUCCGGAAUUAUUGGGCGUAAAGAGCUCGUAGGCGGUUUGUCGCGUCGGCCGUGAAAACUUGGGGCUUAACCCCAAGCCUGCGGUCGAUACGGGCAGACUUGAGUUCGGCAGGGGAGACUGGAAUUCCUGGUGUAGCGGUGAAAUGCGCAGAUAUCAGGAGGAACACCGAUGGCGAAGGCAGGUCUCUGGGCAUUAACUGACGCUGAGGAGCGAAAGCAUGGGGAGCGAACAGG